rnacentral:rRNA from 1 species
AACGAACGCUGGCGGCAUGCCUAACACAUGCAAGUCGAACGAGACCUUCGGGUCUAGUGGCGCACGGGUGCGUAACGCGUGGGAAUCUGCCCUUGGGUUCGGAAUAACAGUUAGAAAUGACUGCUAAUACCGGAUAAUGUCUUCGGACCAAAGAUUUAUCGCCCAGGGAUGAGCCCGCGUAGGAUUAGCUAGUUGGUGAGGUAAAGGCUCACCAAGGCGACGAUCCUUAGCUGGUCUGAGAGGAUGAUCAGCCACACUGGGACUGAGACACGGCCCAGACUCCUACGGGAGGCAGCAGUGGGGAAUAUUGGACAAUGGGCGAAAGCCUGAUCCAGCAAUGCCGCGUGAGUGAUGAAGGCCUUAGGGUGUAAAGCUCUUUUACCCGGGAUGAUAAUGACAGUACCGGGAGAAUAAGCCCCGGCUAACUCCGUGCCAGCAGCCGCGGUAAU